UCUCUCAUGGCGUAGUGGUAACGCGCCCCAACUAGAGAUCGGGGAGUCGUGAGUUCGAGUCUCACUGAGAAGA
rnacentral:tRNA from 1 species